GACGAACGCUGGCGGCGUGCCUAAUACAUGCAAGUCGAGCGAUUGGAUUAAGAGCUUGCUCUGGUGAAUUAGUGGCGAACGGGUGAGUAACACGUGAGUAACCUGCCCUUGACUCUGGGAUAACUGCGGGAAACUGUAGCUAAUACCGGAUACGACCCUCGGAGGCAUCUCCUGGGGGUGGAAAGAAUUUCGGUCAAGGAUGGACUCGCGGCGUAUCAGCUAGUGGGUGAGGUAAAGGCUCACCAAGGCGACGACGGGUAGCCGGCCUGAGAGGGUGACCGACCACACUGGGACUGAGACACUGCCCAGACUCCUACGGGAGGCAGCAGUGGGGAAUAUUGCACAAUGGGCGCAAGCCUGAUGCAGCAACGCCGCGUGAGGGAUGACGGCCUUCGGGUUGUAAACCUCUUUUAGCAGGGAAGAAGCGAAAGUGACGGUACCUGCAGAAAAAGCACCGGCUAACUACGUGCCAGCCGCCGCGGUAA
rnacentral:rRNA from 1 species